CGGGGCGUGGCCUAAUGGUAAGGCACUUGGUUUGGGACCAAGGGAUUGAGAGUUCGAAUCUCUCCGCCCCGACCA
rnacentral:tRNA from 1 species